rnacentral:tRNA from 1 species
GAGAAAGUCACAAAGGUUAUGGGGUUGACUUGAAAUUAAUCUAAGGGGGUUCAAUUCCUCCCUUUCUUA